CUUUUAGUGACACACUUAUGAAGGGAACAUUGUUUGUGAAGCCACCCAUGGAGCACUCUAAACUUCACUGAGGACUCAUAUAUAGGAAGAAUAGAGCCAGGUUGUAUGAACUGGACAUGCAGGACCCACAAAAAAGUGACUGCUGAACAUUCUAAAAUACAGGAUGGUCUUUCAAGGUUCCUGCUUCACAGAAGAAACUGCCAGACAUUCUGCAGGAUACAGAAAAAAGUAACUGACAAACUGCCAAGGAAUCAAUCUAUGAGGCAAUAUCUUGAUGUUUAGGAUUCCGGCUGGUUCGGCAAAGCCCAGUUUAGCUGAAGAAGGAUUAGGCAGCUGCCUUAGUUUACUUGAUGUGACCAAUGAGCUCAGGAUGCUGGCCAUUCUGCUUGUGGAAAGUGACAGCGUUCUUCAUGACUCUUCCAAUUCAUCUGAUGGGUGGAUGAAAACCUCCGGCCAGAACUCCUUCUUGGAAUCAGGGAUGACUUAGACCUUAUCUGGCUCUGCCAUGGCUAACAUUAGUUAAAUGGUCUUCGAACAUGUGGAUGGGACAGUCAAGGAUGCAAACCGGCCAAUGAUGUGGAUUACAGAGAGAAAAUAACUGCACUGGUUCAAAGUUGGUAGCCUUGUACAUUGUUGUUAAGAGAGACUGACUCAGAACAACUGUGGCUGUUUCCCAGAGGCUAAGAGGAU